rnacentral:rRNA from 1 species
AUUGAACGCUGGCGGCAUGCCUUACACAUGCAAGUCGAACGGCAGCACGGGUGCUUGCACCUGGUGGCGAGUGGCGAACGGGUGAGUAAUAUAUCGGAACGUACCUUAUUGUGGGGGAUAACGCAGCGAAAGCUGUGCUAAUACCGCAUAAUCCCUAAGGGGGAAAGCGGGGGACCGUAAGGCCUCGCGCAAUUAGAGCGGCCGAUACCUGAUUAGCUAGUUGGUGAGGUAAAGGCUCACUAAGGCAACGAUCAGGAGCUGGUCUGAGAGGACGAUCAGCCACACUGGGACUGCGACACGGCCCAGACUCCUACGGGAGGCAGCAGUGGGGAAUUUUGGACAAUGGGGGCAACCCUGAUCCAGCAAUGCCGCGUGAGUGAAGAAGGCCUUCGGGUUGUAAAGCUCUUUUGUCAGGGAAGAAACAGCAGCUCUAACACAGUUUGCGAAUGACGGUACCUGAAGAAUAAGCACCGGCUAACUACGUGCCAGCCGCCGCAGUAA